AUUGAACGCUGGCGGCAUGCCUUACACAUGCAAGUCGAACGGUAACAGGUUAAGCUGACGAGUGGCGAACGGGUGAGUAAUGUAUCGGAACGUGCCCAGUCGUGGGGGAUAACUGCUCGAAAGAGCAGCUAAUACCGCAUACGACCUGAGGGUGAAAGCGGGGGAUCGCAAGACCUCGCGCGAUUGGAGCGGCCGAUAUCAGAUUAGGUAGUUGGUGAGGUAAAGGCUCACCAAGCCGACGAUCUGUAGCUGGUCUGAGAGGGCGACCAGCCACACUGGGACUGAAACACGGCCCAGACUCCUACGGGAGGCAGCAGUGGGGAAUGUUGGACAAUGGGCGCAAGCCUGAUCCAGCCAUGCCGCGUGCGGGAAGAAGGCCUUCGGGUUGUAAACCGCUUUUGUCAGGGAAGAAAAGGUUCUGGCUAAUACCUGGGACUCAUGACGGUACCUGAAGAAUAAGCACCGGCUAACUACGUG
rnacentral:rRNA from 1 species